rnacentral:rRNA from 1 species
CGAUGAUGCCCAGCUUGCUGGGUGGAUUAGUGGCGAACGGGUGAGUAACACGUGAGUAACCUGCCCCUGACUCUGGGAUAAGCGUUGGAAACGACGUCUAAUACUGGAUAUGAUCACUGGCCGCAUGGUCUGGUGGUGGAAAGAUUUUUUGGUUGGGGAUGGACUCGCGGCCUAUCAGCUUGUUGGUGAGGUAAUGGCUCACCAAGGCGACGACGGGUAGCCGGCCUGAGAGGGUGACCGGCCACACUGGGACUGAGACACGGCCCAGACUCCUACGGGAGGCAGCAGUGGGGAAUAUUGCACAAUGGGCGAAAGCCUGAUGCAGCAACGCCGCGUGAGGGAUGACGGCCUUCGGGUUGUAAACCUCUUUUAGUAGGGAAGAAGCGAAAGUGACGGUACCUGCAGAAAAAGCACCGGCUAACUACGUG